rnacentral:lncRNA from 1 species
UUCAGCUUCUAGUGCUCACUCUUUCAUGUAAGCUUAUUCCAUUUUCAGGCUUCUUAACUUGCUCAAAGAACAUGUAUCUAAUAUGUAUUUUCUUCCAGAUAGAGGCGCCCUCUUUUCUCCAUUUGCUCAUUUUUGAGUCAUGUGACAGGGCCCCGGGUCCUCCCGCCAGACACACCUAUGGGAGAAAAGGGGAGUUUGAAGAAUGGGGUCCUGACCUUGCUAGGCACCAUUUGAAGUGCUCACAUGUCCUUUGUCUUAUUCAGUCUCCAUUUGUUUUCAUUUAUGAGUGAAAGGAGAUGAAAUUGAGAUGGACUUGCCUUGCUCUUGGUGCAGAGCUGUGAUUACAGAGUUGAUGAGAAAGCUGUUCCAACUGUGCAUGGAGAUGCAUUCCGUGGUCAAUCUGCACAUGGCUGUCAGGAACUAGCUGGAGUCAGCAGGAGAGAGAGCAAUGCCUUGUUCAUCCAUCCAGGUGGGGCUCCGAGAGCUUCCAAACCAAUGGAUAAGAAGGAGGAGCCACAGAGGCUAGAAAAGACUGCCGACCACAGUUUGUCCCAUGUAGAACUUUCUGGAACAUUCAGCUGCAGAAAGUGAAUGGGCUCAAAGCUUUCUGUCUCCUUCUGAACAGGCUGUCUAUAAAAACAAAGGAAGCCUGGCUGCCUGGGAGACAGUUCUUGAUGGUUUCAAGACAAGCUGCAGUGUCUCUCUUGGCUGCAGGAUGGGAUGGUUGCCAUGAGUGAGGAGCACAGUUCACCUAAGGCUGCCCUUGUCAGGAGCGGGGAAAGGUGAGGAUGAAAAAUCUCUUAUGAGAGCCCAAAUCCACGUGUGUGCAUAGCUCAUGGAGAGCAUAACAUCUCAAUCAAAUUGUUUGCCGACAACAUUUAUUUCAGCUAAAUGAUACUUCAGAGAGGCCAUCCUUCUUCAUAUUCUCUGAAUCAAUCCAUUAACACAGCAUAAGGCAUCCAGGAAAUAAUGGCUGCAAACAAGCCUGGGAGCCAGAAAGAACGGCUUUGGUGGGUGUACUGGUGUGGAGGGAGCCAAGACCAGUAAGAAGCCUAAGGUCACAGAGUCUGCACCAGGAUCUCGGUGGUGGGAGUAACAGAGAAGAGCUGGGUCUAAAAGAUGUCAAGGAAUGAAAGUCCAUGGGAUUUAAGCAUGUGACCUCACAUGAGUUACUUAACUGCUCUUUUUUUUUCCCAUUUGUAAAGUGGGAUGUGGGAGGCAGAAUAAUGUCCCCCCACAUAGGUCCAUGUCCUUAUCCACAGAAACUGUGAAUACGUUAGGUUACCCAGUAAAGUGUUGGAUAAAGGAAUUAAACACUUAGGGAAAAUAAGAAUAU